rnacentral:rRNA from 1 species
GGGUCAGUAGGUUGGUCGUGCCACCGGUACGUUCUGGUCUCACUGAUUCCUCCUUCCUGAAGAACCGUAAUGCCAUUAAUUUGGUGUUGCAGGGAAACAGGACUGUUACUUUGAAAAAAUUAGAGUGUUUAAAGCAAGCUAACGCUUGAAUACAUUAGCAUGGAAUAAUGAAAUAGGACGAUCGAUCCUAUUUUGUUGGUUUCUAGGAUUGACGUA